AUGAACGCUAGCUACAGGCUUAACACAUGCAAGUCGAGGGGCAGCAUGAACUUAGCUUGCUAAGUUUGAUGGCGACCGGCGCACGGGUGAGUAACACGUAUCCAACCUGCCGAUGACUCGGGGAUAGCCUUUCGAAAGAAAGAUUAAUACCCGAUGGCAUAGUUCUUCCGCAUGGUAGAACUAUUAAAGAAUUUCGGUCAUCGAUGGGGAUGCGUUCCAUUAGGUUGUUGGCGGGGUAACGGCCCACCAAGCCUUCGAUGGAUAGGGGUUCUGAGAGGAAGGUCCCCCACAUUGGAACUGAGACACGGUCCAAACUCCUACGGGAGGCAGCAGUGAGGAAUAUUGGUCAAUGGACGAGAGUCUGAACCAGCCAAGUAGCGUGAAGGAUGACUGCCCUAUGGGUUGUAAACUUCUUUUAUACGGGAAUAAAGUGAGGCACGUGUGCCUUUUUGUAUGUACCGUAUGAAUAAGGAUCGGCUAACUCCGUGCCAGCAGCCGCGGUAAUACGGAGGAUCCGAGCGUUAUCCGGAUUUAUUGGGUUUAAAGGGAGCGUAGGCGGACGCUUAAGUCAGUUGUGAAAGUUUGCGGCUCAACCGUAAAAUUGCAGUUGAUACUGGGUGUCUUGAGUACAGUAGAGGCAGGCGGAAUUCGUGGUGUAGCGGUGAAAUGCUUAGAUAUCACGAAGAACUCCGAUUGCGAAGGCAGCCUGCUGGACUGUAACUGACGCUGAUGCUCGAAAGUGUGGGUAUCAAACAGGAUUAGAUACCCUGGUAGUCCACACAGUAAACGAUGAAUACUCGCUGUUUGCGAUAUACAGUAAGCGGCCAAGCGAAAGCGUUAAGUAUUCCACCUGGGGAGUACGCCGGCAACGGUGAAACUCAAAGGAAUUGACGGGGGCCCGCACAAGCAGUGGAGUAUGUGGUUUAAUUCGAAGCAACGCGAAGAACCUUACCAGGUCUUGACAUCGAGUGACGUAUCCAGAGAUGGAUAUUUCCUUCGGGACACAAAGACAGGUGGUGCAUGGUUGUCGUCAGCUCGUGCCGUGAGGUGUCGGCUUAAGUGCCAUAACGAGCGUAACCCUUAUCGAUAGUUACCAUCAGGUGAUGCUGGGGACUCUGUCGAGACUGCCGUCGUAAGAUGUGAGGAAGGUGGGGAUGACGUCAAAUCAGCACGGCCCUUACGUCCGGGGCUACACACGUGUUACAAUGGGGGGUACAGAAGGCAGCUACACGGCGACGUGAUGCUAAUCCCUAAAGCCUCUCUCAGUUCGGAUUGGAGUCUGCAACCCGACUCCAUGAAGCUGGAUUCGCUAGUAAUCGCGCAUCAGCCACGGCGCGGUGAAUACGUUCCCGGGCCUUGUACACACCGCCCGUCAAGCCAUGAAAGCCGGGGGUACCUGAAGUGCGUAACCGCAAGGAGCGCCCUAGGGUAAAACUGGUGAUUGGGGCU
rnacentral:rRNA from 1 species